GAUGAAGAACGUAGCGAAAUGCGAUAAGUAAUGUGAAUUGCAGAAUUCAGUGAAUCAUCGAAUCUUUGAACGCACAUUGCGCCCGCCAGUAUUCUGGCGGGCAUGCCUGUUCGAGCGUCAUUACAACCCUCAGGCCCCCGGGCCUGGCGUUGGGGAUCGGCGGAAGCCCCCUGCGGGCACAACGCCGUCCCCCAAAUACAGUGGCGGUCCCGCCGCAGCUUCCAUUGCGUAGUAGCUAACACCUCGCAACUGGAGAGCAGCGCGGCCACGCCGUAAAACACCCAACUUCUGAAUGUUGACCUCGAAUCAGGUAGGAAUACCCGCUGAACUUAAGCAUAUCAAUAAGCGGAGGA
rnacentral:misc_RNA from 1 species